rnacentral:rRNA from 1 species
GCCAGCAGCCAUAUCACCCUGCAACUCACACCUGGCAACCCACUGAAGCUCAACAGGUGUGAGCCUGGUCAGUACCUGGAUGGGGGACCUCCUGGGAAAAACUAAGGUUGCUGCUGGAA